rnacentral:sRNA from 1 species
GAUUUGCGUGAGGGAUAGAGGCGGUAUCCUUUUGUGGAGAGAAACGGAACAAAAGAUAAAGCCGAAAGCCCGACCCGCC